CAGUGCUUUCCACCCCUGGACUUGAAGAUGUUGCAACAAUAAGUCAGAAAGUGCUGUUGAAUGUUUGUGGUGGAGCAAGUAGUUUCAGUGCAUUUGGAUCCAAAGAUGCUCAUGACAGGCGGGGACAGGAGUGAGGAUGACCCAAGCCCACGUGAUUGAAGAAGUUGGUAGAGAACUGACGAGUUAGUGUACGGACAAAACAACCGUCAGCCUGUUGGCAGAGUAACACGUGGCAGGAGCCCUCUCUGAAGAGGGUUGGCUUGCUCACUCAUUCCCUAAGUAUCUGUGCAGUGCCUGCCAAGUGCCAGCACACACAAGUGUCGCCACAGCAUCUGUCCUCCUGCUUUCCAAAGCCCCCAAGAUGAGUGGGACAUGAUCUGAUCUAUCGUGCACAGGUGAGACGAGUGAGGGGCA
rnacentral:lncRNA from 1 species